GACGAACGCUGGCGGCGUGCUUAACACAUGCAAGUCGAACGGAAAGGCCCUGCUUUUGUGGGGUGCUCGAGUGGCGAACGGGUGAGUAACACGUGAGUAACCUGCCCUUGACUUUGGGAUAACUUCAGGAAACUGGGGCUAAUACCGGAUAGGAGCUCCUGCUGCAUGGUGGGGGUUGGAAAGUUUCGGCGGUUGGGGAUGGACUCGCGGCUUAUCAGCUUGUUGGUGGGGUAGUGGCUUACCAAGGCUUUGACGGGUAGCCGGCCUGAGAGGGUGACCGGCCACAUUGGGACUACGAUACGGACCAGACGCCUACGGGAGGCAGCAGUGGGAAAUAUUGCACAAUGGGCGGAAGCCUGAUGCAGCAACGCCGCGUGCGGGAUGAAGGCCUUCGGGUUGUAAACCGCUUUCGCCUGUGACGAAGCGUGAGUGACGGUAAUAGGUAAAGAAGCACCGGCUAACUACGUG
rnacentral:rRNA from 1 species